UCCUGCAGGCUGGGGAGGACAAUGAGGUCCUCUUCAGGUCCCUGGAGGUCACCGAGAGCUUCGUGGGCACAGUCCGCAAUCGCGUCGUGUCGCAAUCUAGGGAAGUGGAGCCUGGUCAACCUCUACGUGCCUUCGCCUUCUCAGGCGCUUCCUCCCAAACACCCUCAGAAGCAAAGCUGGCAGGCGCGGCGGUUAUCGUGGUUCACG